UACAUUUUAAAAAAAAAUUUGUACUUUUCCUCCAAAUCUAAAUGACUAAUUUUAACCAAACUUGGCACCCUUGAUUGAAGAGCUUUCAAGUUUGAAGGAACAGAUCCUCUACUAUGAGAAGAUAAUAAGAAAAGGGGGUGAAGUUUUCUAAAAAAAACUCUUCAUUAGGACUUAAUGACUUUUUAUAUCAAAACUUGAACAUAAAUGUAGUAGAUUCAAACUUGUUAAAAAUGUAGGGGGGGGGGGGUCAGGAACAGAUAAAAAAGGAAGUUAAAAUAUAACAAGAAAUAACAAAGAAAUAAAUGGAACAUAUUCUUAGAAUAUUUUUUCGCUUAUGAAGAACAUUAAGACUUUAUCUUGUUCAAUUACCAAUUUAAAUUUUUCUGAAGAACACGGGGAUAAGAUGUGUUUAAUUUAUAUUGAAGCAAUGAAAUAUAUAACAUUUUCCUUGAACAAUAACAAACUCUCUUCUCCUCUCCUGAUUUUUUUCAGAUAUUCAUAUGUUGUAAAGCUAUUUUAUUACUGUAUAAAAAAAUUUGUUGAUCUGUGAGCGUCUUGGUCUUGUGACCUCUUGCUUUUUGAGAGGUUAGGGGGCUUAGAUGAAUAAAUUGUAGGCUUGUUUUCUGUGUAUUUGUGUAAAUGUUGAUCACAUUACAGGGGAACAUCAAAGUUAUGAUGCAUCAGUGAUCAAGUAAAGAUCAACCUAUUUGUGUGAAUUUAGAUUUAUUUUUGUUUUUUAUGUUGUUAUCUUUUUAAUGCUUAAUUUUGACAUCUUCAGAUUUUUAGUUGAAACAUUUGUUAACUAUAAACUGAUAAAAGUAUUUUACUACUGAAAAUACAAUAUAGUACUGCUUCUUAUGAAGAUCAUGUAGAGGUUUUGAGAAAAAAAGUUGUAACUUUGCAAGGCAGUGUAUAAAGAUUAUACUGUAUCUACAGACUUUAUUUUUAUUCAAAAUGCUUUGUACAGUAAAACAUGUUUACAGCAAAAUGCUGGGGAUUAUCAAUUUUGAUUUGUUAUAAACCUAACAUUACUUAAUGAUAAGGGAAUAUACAAUAUGCUUUGCUAUAAGCAUAAACUCAUUAUAAAUGUUUUGGCUAUAACUGUGUUUUACUGUACAUUCAAGUUUUGAAAAGGUUGUCUGAGAGCAAACUGAUGAAAUAUGUCUGGUUUUUGCUGGCCAAUGUAACAGCCACCAUCUCUUCAUUCCUACAGAUCUAUCGUUUACCUUGUACAUAUAUUGUAGAGGAAGAUGUAUGUGUACACUGUAUAUAUUUUGUAAACUCAGUAGAAUUAAAAAUGAAAGCU
rnacentral:sRNA from 1 species